rnacentral:rRNA from 1 species
CCUACGGGUGGCAGCAGUCGAGAAUCAUUCACAAUGGGGGAAAGCCUGAUGGUGCGACGCCGCGUGGGGGAAUGAAGGUCUUCGGAUUUUAACCCCCUGUCAUGUGGGAGCAAAUUAAAAAGAUAGUACCACAAGAGGAAGCGACGGCUAACUCUGUGCCAGCAGCCGCGGUAAUACCGAGGUCUCAAGCGUUGUUCGUACUCACUGGGGGUAAAGAGUGCGUAGGCUGUUUCGUAAGUCGUGUGUGAAAGGCGCGGGCUCAACCCGCGGACUGCACAUGAUACUGCGAGACUAGAGUAAGGGAGGGGGAACCGGAAUUCUCGGUGUAGCAGUGAAAUGCGUAGAUAUCGAGAGGAACACUAGUGGCGAAGGCGGGUUCCUGGACAUUAACUGACGCUGAGGCACGAAGGCGAGGGGAGCGAAAGGGAUUAGAUACCCCAGUAGUC